rnacentral:rRNA from 1 species
UGGGGAAUAUUGCACAAUGGGGGAAACCCUGAUGCAGCGACGCCGCUUGAGCGAAGAAGGUUUUCGAAUCGUAAAGCUCUGUCCUAUGAGAAGAUAAUGACGGUAUCAUAGGAGGAAGCCCCGGCUAAAUACGUGCCAGCAGCCGCGGUAAUACGUAUGGGGCGAGCGUUGUCCGGAAUUAUUGGGCGUAAAGGGUACGUAGGCGGUCUAUUAAGUCAGGUGUGAAAGCGUGAGGCUUAACCUCAUUAAGCACUUGAAACUGAUAGACUUGAGUGAAGGAGAGGAAAGGGGAAUUCCUAGUGUAGCGGUGAAAUGCGUAGAUAUUAGGAGGAAUACCGGUGGCGAAGGCGACUUUCUGGACUUUUACUGACGCUCAGGUACGAAAGCGUGGGGAGCAAACAGG